rnacentral:rRNA from 1 species
UUUGAAUCCUGGCUCAGGACGAACGCUGGCGGCGUGCUUAACACAUGCAAGUCGAACGGAAAGGCCCAGCUUGCUGGGUACUCGAGUGGCGAACGGGUGAGUAACACGUGGGUGAUCUGCCCUGGACUCUGGGAUAAGCCUGGGAAACUGGGUCUAAUACCGGAUAUGACCUUACAUCGCAUGGUGUUUGGUGGAAAGCUUUUGCGGUUCAGGAUGGGGCCCGCGGCCUAUCAGCUUGUUGGUGGGGUAAUGGCCUACCAAGGCGACGACGGGUAGCCGACCUGAGAGGGUGAUCGGCCACACUGGGACUGAGACACGGCCCAGACUCCUACGGGAGGCAGCAGUGGGGAAUAUUGCACAAUGGGCGCAAGCCUGAUGCAGCGACGCCGCGUGAGGGAUGACGGCCUUCGGGUUGUAAACCUCUUUCACCAGGGACAAAAGAAAAAAGUGACGGUACCUGGAGAAGAAGCACCGGCCAACUACGUGCCAGCAGCCGCGGUAAUACGUAGGGUGCGAGCGUUGUCCGGAAUUACUGGGCGUAAAGAGCUCGUAGGCGGUUUGUCGCGUCGUCUGUGAAAUUCUGCAACUCAAUUGUAGGCGUGCAGGCGAUACGGGCAGACUUGAGUACUACAGGGGAGACUGGAAUUCCUGGUGUAGCGGUGAAAUGCGCAGAUAUCAGGAGGAACACCGGUGGCGAAGGCGGGUCUCUGGGUAGUAACUGACGCUGAGGAGCGAAAGCGUGGGUAGCUUACAGGAUUAGAUACCCUGGUAGUCCACGCCGUAAACGGGCUCCUAGGUGUGGGGC